UACGAAGGGAGCAAGCGUUAUUCGGAAUCACUGGGCGUAAAGGGCGUGUAGGCGGUUGAUUAAGUCAGUUGUUAAAUUCCUCAGCCUAACUGAGGCACAGCGAUUGAAACUGAUCGGCUAGAGUGCAGAAGAGAGAAGUGGAAUUAUCGGAGUAGCGGUAAAAUGCGUAGAUCUCGAUAGGAACACCGAUGGCGAAGGCAGCUUCUUGGGCUGCUACUGACGCUGAAACGCGAAAGCGUGGGGAGCAAACAGG
rnacentral:rRNA from 1 species